UACGUAGGUGGCUAGCGUUGUCCGGAUUUACUGGGCGUAAAGAGCGCGCAGGCGGUCGUUCAAGUCGAGUGUGAAAGCCCCCGGCUCAACUGGGGAGGGUCACUCGAUACUGAUCGACUCGAAGGCAGGAGAGGGAAGCGGAAUUCCCGGUGUAGUGGUGAAAUGCGUAGAUAUCGGGAGGAACACCAGGUGGCGAAGGCGGCUUUCUGGCCUGCUCUUGACGCUGAGGCGCGAAAGCUAGGGUAGCAAACGGG
rnacentral:rRNA from 1 species